CUCUGCAGACUCUUCCAACUGACCUAAAAAUGCUGCGGGAACAACAGGCUACAGUUGCCCCUGAAGAAAUACAGAAGUGGAAACAGAAAGGGGCAGUUCUGAAGGAUGGAGUGUACUCCAACAACCUCAAGUUCUGCCUCCCUAAGAAUUUGUACCCAGCAGUUGUACAAUGUGCACACGGACCUGCACAUUUAUCAAAGGAUCUAAUGAAUGCUCUUGUACAAAAAUACUACCUCAUUGUCCCUAUAUGAGAUUCUAUUUGGGACUGCACCUAGGCUAGGUUGCUAUUUUCCUCAACAACUAC